rnacentral:rRNA from 1 species
AGCCUGGGGCUUUAUCUUAGGUAGCCUCUGCUCACUGCUAAUGUAAAGGGCCGCAGUACUUUGACUGUGCUAAGGUAGCGAAAUCAAUAGGCUUUUAAUUGGAGCCCGGUAUGAAUGAGGGCACGGGGACCAGCUGUCUCACACACAUAAGGGAGCUUUCUUGUAGGGUGAGAAAGCCCUUUCUAAGAUAAAAGACGAGAAGACCCUGGGAGUUUUUGCAGAGUACCCUUUAGUUGGGGCAACUAGGAAGCAUGCAACCUUCCUCAAGCUAACCUCUAGCCAGAUAUUUCAUUUGAGAACAAACUACCCCAGGGAUAACAGCAUAAUUUUUUUAAGCUUGUGACCUCGAUGUUGGACUAGGCACCUGAUGAUUAGCCGUCAAAAGGUUUAGUUCUGUUCGAACAUUAGCGCCUACAU